ensembl:snRNA U6 U6 spliceosomal RNA
GUGCUCGCUUCGGCAGCACAUAUACUAAAAUUGAAACGAUACAGAGAUUAGCAUGGCCCCUGCACAAGGAUGACAUGCAAAUUCAUGAAGCGUUCCAUAUUUUU